AAAAGUACAACGAAUAUAACGACCGACAUUAAAUUAAUUGAAGCUUUGUAAAAUAGGACAGACACGCUUAAGCCAGAUUUAUCGAACUGAAAGGGGCAAACGUUUGAAAAAAUGAACACGUUUAUCUUCACUGCGACGUUCAUUUUACUUUCAACCGUUGUCAAUCAAGGAAUAUCCAAUCCUGCUAUAGGUUUCAGCGCGAUUUUAUCCCAGAAUACUUAUCUGGAAAACGACCAUGCAAUAGUAUAUGACAAUGUCGUUACAAAUGUUAGAAACGGCUAUAAUAGAUGGUCAGGGCACUUUGCUGCUCCAAGAAAAGGGCUAUAUGUCUUUACCUGCUCAGUAAGAGCCAACAGCAAAGUCGGGAUAACUGUUGUAAUUGUACACAAUGGCCGUCCGGUUCUGAGGAUCGCUUCAUCUGUUUAUUCACCAGAAACU